rnacentral:tRNA from 1 species
GGGGUUGUGGCUCAUUGGUAGAGCGCUUACCUCACGUGUGUGAGGCACUGAGUUCCAUCCUCAGCACCA